AAUCAACGCUGGCGGCGUGCCUAACACAUGCAAGUCGAGCGAGAAAGUGGGGGCAACUCCAUGAGUACAGCGGCGACCGGGUGAGUAACACGUGACUAACCUACCCUUGAGUGGGGAAUAACUCCGGGAAACCGGAGCUAAUACCGCAUAACACCGUAAGGUCAAAGGAGCAAUUCGCUUAAGGAGGGGGUCGCGGUUGAUUAGCUAGUUGGUGGGGUAAUGGCCCACCAAGGCGAUGAUCAAUAGCCGGCCUGAGAGGGCGCACGGCCACACUGGAACUGAAACACGGUCCAGACUCCUACGGGAGGCAGCAGUGGGGAAUUUUGCGCAAUGGGGGAAACCCUGACGCAGCAACGCCGCGUGAAGGAUGAAGGUCUUUGGAUUGUAAACUUCUUUUCGUUCGGGACGAUAAUGACGGUACCGGAAGAAGAAGCCCCGGCUAACUUCGU
rnacentral:rRNA from 1 species